CAGUAGCCGCGGUAAUACGUAGGGUGCAAGCGUUAAUCGGAAUUACUGGGCGUAAAGCGUGCGCAGGCGGUUAUAUAAGACAGAUGUGAAAUCCCCGGGCUCAACCUGGGAACUGCAUUUGUGACUGUAUAGCUAGAGUACGGCAGAGGGGGAUGGAAUUCCGCGUGUAGCAGUGAAAUGCGUAGAUAUGCGGAGGAACACCGAUGGCGAAGGCAAUCCCCUGGGCCUGUACUAACGCUCAUGCACGAAAGCGUGGGGAGCAAACAGGAUUAGAUACCCCUGUAGUCCCUGUCUCUUAUAC
rnacentral:rRNA from 1 species